UAAGAUUUAUUGUGAGAAUGAUUGAUGUUAUAAACCAGGAAAAGGACUCUUCCCACAGCAGGGAUGACAGAAAUAUACCUGGUGUUUCCAGCCCCCACUCUAAAUCAAAUUGUCAGGCUAUCCAAUGUGAUUCAAGUCUGCCAGGCAAACAAAGACACUCCUAUUGAGGAUGCUGGAAAAAUUGGAUACCCAUAUGCAGAAGAAUGAAACUAGAUCCCUGUCUUUCACCAUAUACAAAAAUUGU
rnacentral:lncRNA from 10 species